rnacentral:rRNA from 1 species
UACGUAGGGGCCGAGCGUUGUCCGGAGUUAUUGGGCGUAAAGCGCGCGCAGGCGGCUUCGCGCGCCCGACGUGAAAGCCCCCGGCUUAACCGGGGAGAGUCGUUGGGGACGGCGGAGCUUGAGGGCGGGAGAGGUCGGUGGAAUUCCCGGUGUAGUGGUGAAAUGCGUAGAGAUCGGGAGGAACACCUGUGGCGAAGGCGACUCUUUGGCCUGUAACUGACACUGAGGCGCGAAAGCGUGGGGAGCAAACAGG